GGCCCUGCUUAACGGACCAAGGGACGGACCAACUAAAAAAAGAAGAAAAAAUAUACUCACACUUCCAUCUUCCAUCAAAUUUCUUCCCAUCCGUUUCCCCGAUUCUCUCUCCAUCUUCCAUCUUCUUUCCUCCCUCUCUCACACUUCCAAAGAGCAGACGGAAGAGCUUGUCGGAAGAGACAAACAGACGCGAGUAGGCUUUCGGCCCAUUCUCCCUCUCUCGUCGCGACGAAUCUCUGCCUUCUCUCUCCUUCUACUCACCUUGCAG
rnacentral:lncRNA from 1 species